UAUUUAAUUUAUUUUAUUUUAUUUUCUCCAAGAAUCUCUUUUCUUUUUCACGUAUCUCACAUUCUCCCUAUUCCCCUUUUUCUACCUUUUUUUUUGUUUCUUCUUUCUUUGUUCGGCCAUAAUAUAUUUUCCUUCUCCCUUGUUGGUUCCUAUUUUGUCAAGAACUCAUCUUUUACUCUUUGUUUCUCCAAAUUCAAUCUAUAUUGGGGUGUGAUUUUUGCUAUCGUCUUAUCGUGUGAAGAUUUUGGGACUAACGAUCUUCCGAUGAGUUAAAUUUCAGUGGAAGCUGUUUUUUCGUUUCUGGGCUUUAAUGCUGGUGUCGUUUGUUUCUAAUGAAACUAGACUCAAAAUGGAAUCUGUACAUAUAAGGUAUGUCUCCUAAUUCUUUUUGGAUAAUUUAUAGUGAAUUUUUAAAGUUGCGACAGGGAACCCAGAAACCAUUCUGGCCCUGUCUCACAAUAGCUUUAAUAUCUCUUAACCUGUAACUCCUAUGACCAUUUCGUUUCUUCCAUAUGAAAAUAGACUCAUCAA